CCUACGGGUGGCAGCAGUGAGGAAUAUUGGUCAAUGGUCGGGAGACUGAACCAGCCAAGCCGCGUGAGGGAGGAAGGUACAGAGUAUCGUAAACCUCUUUUGUCAGGGAACAAAGACUGGGACGCGUCCCCGGAUGAGUGUACCUGAAGAAAAAGCAUCGGCUAACUCCGUGCCAGCAGCCGCGGUAAUACGGAGGAUGCGAGCGUUAUCCGGAUUUAUUGGGUUUAAAGGGUGCGCAGGCGGUCUGUUAAGUCAGCGGUGAAAGCCCGGGGCGAAACCCCGGCCCGCCGUUGAAACUGGCAGUCUCGAGUUGGAGAGAAGUAUGCGGAAUGCGCGGUGUAGCGGUGAAAUGCAUAGAUAUCGCGCAGAACUCCGAUUGCGAAGGCAGCAUGCCGGCUCCACACUGACGCUGAGGCACGAAAGCGUGGGUAUCGAACAGGAUUAGAUACCCUUGUAGUC
rnacentral:rRNA from 1 species